AGAGUUUGAUCAUGGCUCAGGAUGAACGCUGGCGGCGUGCCUAACACAUGCAAGUCGAGCGAAGUUACUUUAGGAAGCCUUCGGGUGGAAUGGAUUUAACUUAGCGGCGGACGGGUGAGUAACGCGUGGGCAACCUACCCUGUACAGGGGAAUAACAAUGGGAAACCAUUGCUAAUACCCAUAAUACCUUUUAGGGGCAUCCCUUAAAGGUCAAAGAAUUUCGGUAUAGGAUGGGCCCGCGUCGCAUUAGCUAGUUGGUAAGGUAAUGGCUUACCAAGGCGACGAUGCGUAGCCGGCCUGAGAGGGUGAACGGCCACACUGGAACUGAGACACGGUCCAGACUCCUACGGGAGGCAGCAGUGGGGAAUAUUGCACAAUGGGGGAAACCCUGAUGCAGCAACGCCGCGUGAGCGAUGAAGGCUUUCGGGUCGUAAAGCUCUGUCCUAAGGGAAGAUAAUGACGGUACCUUAGGAGGAAGCCCCGGCUAACUACGUGCCAGCCGCAGC
rnacentral:rRNA from 1 species